rnacentral:rRNA from 1 species
UACGGAGGGUGCAAGCGUUAUCCGGAUUCAUUGGGUUUAAAGGGAGCGUAGGUGGCCUUAUAAGUCAGCGGUGAAAUCUCUGGGCUUAACCCAGAAAUUGCCAUUGAUACUGUAGGGCUUGAGUACAGUUGCUGUGGGCGGAAUAUGACAUGUAGUGGUGAAAUACAUAGAGAUGUCAUAGAACACCGAUUGCGAAGGCAGCUCACAAAACUGUAACUGACACUGAGGCUCGAAAGUGCGGGGAUCAAACAGG